GACGAACGCUGGCGGCGUGCUUAACACAUGCAAGUCGAACGGAAAGGCCCUGCUUUUGUGGGGUGCUCGAGGGGCGAACGGGUGAGUAACACGUGAGUAACCUGCCCUUGACUUUGGGAUAACUUCAGGAAACUGGGGCUAAUACCGGAUAGGAGCUCCUGUUGCAUGGUGGGGGUGGGAAAGUCUCGGCGGGUGGGGAUGGACUCGCGGCUUAUCAGCUUGUUGGUGGGGUAGUUGCUUACCAAGGCUUUGACGGGUAGCCGGCCUGAGAGGGUGAACGGCCACAUUGGGACUGCGAUACGGCCCAGACUGCUACGGGAGGCAGCAGUGGGGAAUCUUGCACAAUGAGAGGAAGUCUGAUACAGCAACGCCGCGUGCGGGAUGCCGGCCUGCGGGUUGUAAACCGCUUUCGCCUGUGACGAAGCGUGAGUGACGGUACUGGGUAAAGAAGCACCGGCUAACUACGUG
rnacentral:rRNA from 1 species